rnacentral:misc_RNA from 1 species
AACGCAAAUUGCACUCUCUUCGGAGAGUAUGCCUGUUUGAGGGUCAGUAUUAAUAAAAAUCGGCGUGUUGCUCUUUUGUGACGUUCCGGAGUUUGAGUUAUCUUAACUCUUCUGGGUUUUAAGAGGCUUAAAAUUGACCUUUUUUUGUGCAUUUUAGACGUACAUAAAAUUUUUUUUUAUUCGUCUAUCUUAAUGCCAAAAUCUAUUAGAUGCGACCAUAUCGUGUGGUUUCGUGUCCAUAAAUUUUUCAUGAUUUGACCUCAAAUCAGGUAGGAACACCCGCUGAACUUAA